CAAACCAUGAAAUGAAAGAUCGCUCGACAAAUGGCCGCUUCCAGUUGGUUGGAUCUGAUCUUAUACCCGCACACGAGAGCUACCGGAGCAGCAGCAGAUUAUGAAGGACCCAAGCUGGACUCCCAAGUUCAUCAGUGAGCUGGCUCCAUAUCCUACCCCUAGCUCCCUCUUUUCUGCUCCUAUAGCAUGCUUUGUUGGACUCAUGCUCUGCUCCUACACCAGCAGCUUGAUUGGUUCUAUAUACACUAGCAGCAGUACCUCAUGUACAUGUAAUUGGACUCCCAGGGUGCUGUUUUUGUAAAUUCCUCCAUGUCUUGCUCUUUUGAUGGUGCUACUACACAUGUUAGAUUGUUAGAUGUACUUGUUUCCAUCUCAAAUUACUUUCUUGAACAUAUGCCUUAUGCUUGGUGCAUGUAGGUGUGCUCCGUGUGGCCUUAAAGAUUGUUUAUUUUAUUUCUGUUCAUACAUGAGCACAGUUUUGUAUUGCCGUCAAGGGGUGAAUUGAUUUGAUCGUUAAUAUGUGGUUGGAUGUGAUGUUUUGCAGGUUGAAGGCGCUAAGGUGUUGGAGACGUGCCUGUACUUGUUGAGCGUUUUAUCUGUAGAGUGCUACAUUGUGAUUGGUGUAAUAUUGUAUGGUUAUAUUGUGAUUGGUGGAAUGUAAUAAACUUGAUUGGUACAUCGGUGAUUUGGCUCUUAUUUGAAUAUAUUUUAAAUGUGUUCUCUGAUUGGUAUAUCGUUGAGUUACAAGUUGUGACAAAUUAAAACCUGAUGUUUGGGAC
rnacentral:lncRNA from 1 species